rnacentral:rRNA from 1 species
GGACCCGUCUUGAAACACGGACCAAGGAGUCUUACAUGUGUGCUGGUCAUUGGGACCGUGUGUAAAACCGGAGGGCGCAACGAAAGUAGGGGCGAGCCCCCGCCGCGCGCUCAGGGAAGACGGAGCGUCGGUCUCGAUCGAUCUUUCGCACUCCCGAGGCGUCUCGUUUCCAAUCAGUGAAUGCAAAUGUGCUCUGAGCACAGAUGCUGGGACCCGAAAGAUGGUGAACUAUGCA